rnacentral:rRNA from 1 species
UACGUAGGGGGCAAGCGUUAUCCGGAUUUACUGGGUGUAAAGGGAGCGUAGACGGUGAUGCAAGUCAGAAGUGAAAGCCCGGGGCUCAACCCCGGCCCGCCGUUGAAACUGGCAGUCUCGAGUUGGAGAGAAGUAUGCGGAAUGCGCGGUGUAGCGGUGAAAUGCGUAGAUAUUAGGAGGAACACCAGUGGCGAAGGCGGCUUACUGGACAGUAACUGACGUUGAGGCUCGAAAGCGUGGGGAGCAAACAGG